UUUAGAUCCUCUGUUUAGAGAAACUCUUCCAAAACCCAUCAUCAUCCUGGACUUCUCUGUCCAUAGAUUUUUCAGUUCUAAAUAUGCAGUGUGGUAGAUUGGUAUGAACUUUGAGCUCUGAUGUAUUUUGUGUACCAGAUUUCCUACAUGGUCUCAGCUAGCCUAGUUUAUAACUAUGCAUAUCUAUGUAAGGUUAUGUAUUCACCCACAUAUAAUAUUUUGCAUUCACUAGAAUUUCAUUCAGCUUUCUUCAGGUCACCCUGCUGUUCUCUGAUAUUCUUCAGCAGAUCUCCACAAGGAGUUUUAAGCUGGAUAAGCCUAUUUCAAAUCAACUUGAUUAUAUUGAACAAUUCAAGUCACAAAGAUUGUAAACUUUGCUGGUCUGCUGAGUGCCUCUGUGCAGUGGUCACAGGAAAGAAACAAUUGUCGUUAUCUGAUUUGUUAUGGAAAUGAAGUUGAGGUGCAAGAGGGCAGCAGGCAUAGCCACUGACAGGCCUAGCAAGAAAAUGUAAUGGAGUCUUAAUGUAAAGAGGGAAUAAAAUUGCAUCUGUUACCACAACCGAG
rnacentral:lncRNA from 12 species